GAUGAACGCUAGCGGCAGGCUUAAUACAUGCAAGUCGAGGGACAGCACAGGUAGCAAUACUGGGUGGUAACCGGCAAACGGGUGCGGAACACGUACACAACCUUCCUUUAAGUGGGGGAUAGCCCAGAGAAAUUUGGAUUAAUACCCCGUAAUAUAGUUGAAUGGCAUCAUUUGAUUAUUAUAGCUACGGGGCUUAAUGAUGGGUGUGCGGCUGAUAGAUAGUUGGCGGGGUAACGGCCCACCAAGUCUACGAUCAGUAGCUGAUGUGAGAGCAUGAUCAGCCACACGGGCACUGAGACACGGGCCCGACUCCUACGGGAGGUAGCAGUAAGGAAUAUUGGUCAAUGGACGCAAGUCUGAACCAGCCAUGCCGCGUGAAGGAUUAAGGUCCUCUGGAUUGUAAACUUCUUUUAUUUGGGACGAAAAAGGGCCUUUCUAGGUCAACUGACGGUACCAGAUGAGUAAGCACCGGCUAACUCCGUGCCAGCCGCCGCGGUAACAC
rnacentral:rRNA from 1 species